rnacentral:lncRNA from 1 species
CCCUGCGUGUGGCCCCGCCCACCCUCACGGUUUAGAGCUAGAGGGGGGUCUCCAGCCCGCCCCACCCAUCUGGGGGCGGGGAAGGAGGCGGGCCCCACCUCCCGCCCGCCUUCGCGCGGUCCUAGAACCUGCGCGCCCGCAGAGAGAGUCCCGGAGCCGUAAGGCUAAAUGCGCUGCCGGGCGUGGCUGGGCCUUGAGUAAAUGCUGGAGGGAGCUAACCCGCCUCUCCCUACCGCUGGCGAGGAGACAGCUAUCUCCCCUUGCCGAAACAAUUCAGAGGCGACGCUGUGGAUAAUUCUGGAUGGGGACUCUGGCACAGAGGGAGGAGAAGGAAGGAAGACAAGGAUCCAUUGUUCAUCUCCACUAGGAACCCAAGAGAAGGAAAAGGAAGAGAAGAGUGACUCUGAUGUGGAAAGGCAACUGUGCUGGUGGGGAUAGCAGUUAAAACACAGGUAUUCCAUGAGGGAAACCAAAGCACGGGAAAGGCACUCAUAGGUACUCCUGUUGUUCAUCCUUUUACUUGUGCCCUGGCCCUCCAGUCACCCAAGUCCUGCCUCAGAGAGGAGCAUAUACAGUCACUUCAGAAUUCAGAGACGUACAUCGAUAAUGGAAUAACGAUGGAGUUUAGAGAAGAGAUGCUAUAUCACUUUCAAAGAUAAGUUCUGCUUACCUAUAGAAAAUAAUAGCUGUAAUAUCCAUAUGUUACAGAGAAGAUCUCACAAAUAGAGAAUAGAAUGGUUUGCCUAUAUUGUAAGAUUUUUUUUUCCCCAUUAAGUUUAUUGGUACAUUUUAGGUAUAAAAUACCUUUACAUACAUCAUUGAGAUCUUGUACCAUUACAUGAGUAUCUUGGUUCUUAUUUUUUUUUCCCCUUCCCCUGCCCACCCUUCCCUUUUUGAGAAGAUUUUGUUUCCAUUUUUUUCCUUUUCUCAUUUUUUCUUUUCCCUUCUUUCCUUUUCCCUACCCCUCCCACUUCCCCUGCUCCUUUAGAACUUUACUUCCUAUUACACAAUAUCAAUUAUACAUUUUAAAAAUUAAACUAUCAGGGCUGGGGAUGUAGCUCAGUGGUUCUGGUGCCUGCCUUGCAAGCGCAAGGACCUGAGUUCGAU